UCCACGCAGUAAACGAUGAUUACUAGCUGUUUGCGAUACACAGUAAGCGGCACAGCGAAAGCGUUAAGUAAUCCACCUGGGGAGUACGCCGGCAACGGUGAAACUCAAAGGAAUUGACGGGGGCCCGCACAAGCGGAGGAACAUGUGGUUUAAUUCGAUGAUACGCGAGGAACCUUACCCGGGUUUGAACGUAGGGAGACAGGGGUGGAAACAUCCUUUUCAGCAAUGACUGCCUACGAGGUGCUGCAUGGUU
rnacentral:rRNA from 1 species